AGAGUUUGAUCAUGGCUCAGGAUGAACGCUGGCGGUAUGCCUUACACAUGCAAGUCGAACGGAAAUUAGCUUCGGUUAAUUUUAGUGGCGGACGGGUGAGUAACACGUGAGAAUUCGCCUUUAGGAGGGGGAUAACGGAUGGAAACAUUCGCUAAAACCCCAUAUGCCCCUGGGUGAAACAGAGGAGAUAAGUAAUACUGACUCACCUCUGCCUGAAGAGAAGCUCGCGGCUGAUUAGCUAGUUGGUAGGGUAAAGGCCUACCAAGGCGACGAUCAGUAGCUGGUCUGAGAGGACGAUCAGCCACACUGGAACUGAGACACGGUCCAGACUCCUACGGGAGGCAGCAGUGAGGAAUUUUCUGCAAUGGGCGAAAGCCUGACAGAGCAAUACCGCGUGAGGGAUGAAGACUUACUGAGUUGUAAACCUCGGUACCUUAAGGAAGAAGAUCUGACGGUACUUAAGGUGGAAAGCAUCGGCUAACUCCGUGCCAGCAGCCGCGGUAAGACGGGGGAUGCAAGUGUUAUCCGGAUUUACUGGGCGUAAAGCGUCUGCAGGUGGUUUCUUAAGUCUACUGUUAAAUCUUGAGGCUCAACCUCAAAUCUGCAGUAGAAACUAGGAGACUUGAGUAUAGUAGGGGUAGAGGGAAUUUCCAGUGGAGCGGUGAAAUGCGUAGAUAUUGGAAAGAACACCGAUGGCGAAGGCACUCUACUGGGCUAUUACUGACACUCAGAGACGAAAGCUAGGGGAGCAAAUGGGAUUAGAUACCCCAGUAGUCCUAGCCGUAAACGAUNNAUAANGGGAUGUUGGACGUAUCGACCCGUUCAGUAUCUUAGCUAACGCGUUAAGUUCCCGCCUGG
rnacentral:rRNA from 1 species